rnacentral:lncRNA from 1 species
GAGCCAAGGAGAUCAGAAACCAGACCAGCCUCAGCUCUUCUAAAACUCCAGGUAGACAGUGUCCGACAUGAGCUGCUACCAGGAAAGGUUUUCCUCGGAGGAUGACUACUGCACCUACGCGUCGAAAAUGGAGAAGAAGACAGACAUGACUAAAGGGCCUCACUUCCCUCAGCUUCACACUGUGAUCAAGCACAAGGAGGUCCAUAUGGAAGAGGACGAGUCACGCCCUGGAAUCUUUGGCCGGCCGAGGCACGAGGAGUGGUCUGAAGAGGAGACCUAUGAAAUGUCUGAGACCACCUACGCAGGCGACAUGGGCAUGAAAGGGGGAGAGCGCAUCAGGCGCAAGGUGUAUAUAUGAGACUAUCAUCUAUAUAUAGUUCUGUGGUGAUGGAUGCCAUGGCUUGGCAUCUUUAUAUAUAGAAUAAAUCUCGGGCUUAUCUGCUGUAUAUCCAUAUGAAUAAUACUAUACUUCUCUAGUACUCAAGCUAUAGCUCUAUACUUUAGCCUACUACAUUCACUCUUGAUAUCUUUAGUACGCGCGUGUUUUCAGGUAAAUUUUUUGAGAAUACUACCCAACUCUUUCCCCCUUCAUUUUGAUAAUAUAAUCGGGAAAGAAGUAGGCUAGUCUCCGCUUUGAAUCCUAAAUAUAUUGGUGCAAGAUCGACCGAUGGCAUUCUAAAAUGUUGAUCCAAGCCACUGAUAAUGAUAUAUAUAACAUGUAAGACAUCCGCAAGAAUCAAGUAUUUUGUAAGUUAUCUAUCUAUUAUGCAUCAAGGGGAUGCAAAUGGACGGCAUGAGUAGUGCUAAUGUGUUAAAAUGCAUGAUAGGGUGUGAGAAAAAUUUUGAAUCCAGUCCAUCGAUUAUGAUCGCUCCAUAGAAAGCAUAUGUCAAAUAAAGUUCAAUAUGUUUGAGCACUUCUAAGUCAUAUGUAAACAUGAACUAGAUCGAACAACAUGUAUGAUGAAACCUUUUUGUUUUUGAAGAUUGUUUAUAAAAGGUUUUUGAGCUUUUGGAAGCAAAGUUUAUAGCUUUCAUAAAAAGAGUGAAAAUAAAAUCAAGGAAUAGUAAAAGUUUUGUGCAGAUGCUACCUCGGACAUCAAUCUGCAUGUAGGAAUAGCCAAAUAGGACCUGCAACUCUGUUUCCUAGGGGAAAAAAAAAAAAGCUGAGAUUUUAGGGACGGUUGCAAAAUGUUGCAGUUCCCGUUUUCUUCAGAUUUUCUAAAGCUGGAACUUUCUCGGUUUUGUUACUUCAAGUUCCUUUCUGAGAACUCAGAAAUUCUAACAUAUUUCUGUAGCAAUUUCCGAAGCUGUUUUAAUGAAGCUGUAACUACUACCUAUCAUUAUGGUUUUUAACUUACAGGCUUGAAGCAUAACGCGCUCCCAGUUGCACCCCUAUUUUAAGUGUCUUUGGAGCAUUUUUCAAGACAAAACGAGAACAUAGGAUAAUUUUUGGCCCAGAUCUUGCCACAUAUCGCCGCAAGUGUUGGCUGAUUCUCCUUCUUGAUUAAAGCAGACAAUGCCAGUGAUCAAACACAACAUAAGUUCACGUAUAUAAGCAAUUCACUAAGAUCUACACCAAAGAGGUGCAGUGGCAAAGAAGCAACCAACUCAGAGAACCUUUGGAAGAAGGCUUAGCCCAAAGAAGGCACAAACUUUGCCCUCCCCUGAGGCCAUCCUUUCAGAUCCCUCGGUUCCCACCACCUUCUCUCUCCCUCUCUCCUGCGGACGUGCCGGUGCUGCAGCGCAGAGAGAGACCCUGCAUCAAUGCCAUGCGGAUUCGUGCAAAGCAAACUAACGUUCCCCAUGCCAAAAGCGGAUUACUCUACUGCCUCUAUAUAUAGAUCUCUUGCUUUCUUCUCAGCUCGCCACUCUUUCUUCCACCGAUUCUUCCAGAAUUAAUAUUAGAGCCAUGGCUGUCUUCCGUCGAGCCUAUUUGUUUCGAGAUAUCUUCCGUUGAUGAGUGACUUGCUCGUCUUUCAUGGUCACUUGACGACGUUGGUGCCCUGAAGUCGCGCCAAUGGCAACCUCGCGUUGACGUGGGGGGAAUUAAGCUCGUUUCUAUGGGUGCUCUUCUUGCUUUAUUUUCCGCUUUCUGCUCUCUAACGUAUGGGAAUUGAUUUGUGUGAGGUUGGAAGGGGAUCCAAGUGUAUGGUGAUAUAAUAGCAGCCUUAAAUAUCAGCUUUUUGCUAUUCUAAUAUUGGGUUCGGGUUGUAUCUUCCGUGGGAAAGAAUGAUUCAUCUUUUUUUUCCACGAGGUCAACCAUUGGAUUGUGCAACGGCCACUUUAAGAUCUGUGCAGGUGGAUGAAAAAAAAAAGAGUUUGGUGUGCUUUGGAUCAUUCUUUCACGUGAAAGAUACAACCUAGAUCCUUUGAUAUAUGCACAUUUCCGAAGUGGUCAAAGUGUUUACCAUAAAGAAGAUUGGAGUCUUGAGUGCUCAAAAGAUGUUCGUAGCUAUAAGUGAGGUUGCAUAUUGCACCUAUAAGACUUAUUGAAUGUAUAGUGAUUGUAUGGAGUUCCUCCUCCACCAAGAUGGUCAUGACCUCGCAUUAAGAAUUGGCUGUGUUGUUAUAUUGAAUAAUCAAUAUUAACAAUCCACUUUAAAAAUCAUUGUCAAGGAUAGAGAUGCGAACUUGGUUGAAAUAGCUUAUAAGUGGUCCCUUAACUUGAAAUAAUAGAAUACCUUACUACAAUUUUGUGACAAAAUCCAUGUAUUAAUAAUGAUACCCUUGAUAAGAGGCAUAGUGGUUUAUUGGAUUCAGAUACAAAUAAGGGUCUAGUUGUCCAACAUGAAAUCAACCAUAUGUUACAAUGUUAAUAUUAAAACAUAGAGAUGGUCAGACAUAUGAGACCCACAACCCAGCUAAUUACUUAAAGUUUUAAAAAUAAUUAUUUUGGAAAAAAAUAUUAUUAAGAACAAUGGUAAAUUAUUUUCAAAAGGUUUCAUGUGCAUUGAAAUCCAAUCCAAUCCACCACCAUAAGCUCUCUCACGCGCGCAUAUAUAUAUAUAUAUAUAUAUAUAUAUUCGUUAUAUAUAUAUAUAUAUAUAUAUAUAUAUUCGAAUUUGCCCCUCUUGGUUUCAAGUUAGCAUGUUUUAUAGAAUGGCAAUUUUAGAUGAAGUUUGGUCUAGGACCUCUAGGUAUAGAUGUGUAGGAAUAGAUUUGCACAAUUUGAUGAGUCGGUGAAUAUUUUGGUGUAAUUUGACAUAUUCAAUAUUCUAUUUUGCAUGGUUGCAAUUUUCUGUUUUCAAUUUUCCUUAAAAACUAAAGAAAUUGCCACGGGAAUGGUGUUUGAUAAUCUAUUUUCUUUUUUAGUUUUUUUGAAAACUUUUUCUUAGUUUCUAAAAAUUUAUGCAAGUUUAAAAUUUUGUUUCCAAAAUUUCUAAAAAUCAAACCACUCAUGAUCCUCCACCAUCAUCUUUGUUGCUAUUGCCUCUGUCACCACCUAUCAACCACUAUCCUCUCGCCAACCACAAUCAUCUCCACUAUCACUGCAAUCAGCAUUGCUAACAUUGCUGCCAAAUGCAUUCCAUGCAACCAUUAGAUGUUAGGUUUUUGAUUGAAGGAGGCUUGUUUGAGGAAUCUCUUUUAGAGAUGUAACGUGAAAGAUAAAUGGAGAAUCGACCUUGCGACCUAGAGAGGGGAAUUUCAAAAAAUUCGAUGAAAAGAGAGAAAAAGAAGGGAAUAUAUAUUUGUGGUGUGGUUAACUAAGCUGAUUGAUAUUGAUGGUAUUCGAAUUUGAUAAGACAAGGAUUAGAAUUCUUUCAUAUGAAGUAUGCGAAUGAAGAACUGGUGGUCUAGAUCAUUGAGGAAUGAGAAUAAGAAAGCGAGCAAUGAAGAUAGGAGGUGGGUCCUAAAAUUUAAAGGGGCAAGGAGGCUGCACUGGAACUAUUUGGAAAUCCCAAGAACAUUUAAUUUCUCAGGAUGGCCAUGGCCCUUGCCCCCUCCCCUGCCGGUUCCAGCAUUCACAAACUGAUGCAUUCUUUUAGUCUUCUAAAUCUACUUCAUAUAGUUUCUAGGAGCUUGGGUUGUCUCUAUGGUUCAUAAACCUUACAAGAAUGUUUACCUUCUGAUGUCAGCAUAUGAUAUAUAACGAUGACAAGUGCCUCUACCUGUGGGUCGAUGAAGAAUGGUAUGAUCAAUUCAGGUUUCCAAGCACAGAAGAACGGUACAAAGAUAGCAGCAGCAAGACAUUCAAACAUUGUUGAUCUCAGAAAACCAUGUUGCCCAUGCUGUAACGCAGCACUGGUUUGUAAGCUAGGAAAUGAUCAAGGAAUAGGAUGGACUCCAAUGGACACAGGCCUAUGUGAACUUGGAGAGGAGCACUGUACUAGUAAAGUGAAUGCAACUCAGCUAUGGUGCUCAUAUUCUGCCCCUAUGUAAAUUUCAAACUUCUCUCUUUUUCUUCUUGGGAAAUAUCGAACCUAUUCAACCAUCUGAUGGUGAUUACAAACAUUUUAAACUAACUUUUUCCAGAGCAAUUCCAAACGGUGGAGAAAUUGUUUGCAUAUGAUGAGGUAUGGGAUCACAAAGUAAUAUAAUUAUUGUCGAGUAUAUCUUUGAGUUUACGGGCUCUAGAAAGGCAAAAAAAAUCUUUUCCCCCAUGAGAGAAGCAAGUGGUGCAGAGUGCAAAGAGCGAAGCAAGCAUUAGCAUCCUUGUUUUAUUUGGGCCGCACAGGAUGAGAUAAAUUUAUUUAUAUAUUGUUCUAGAAACCGACAUUAGCAUCAGUGGGUGCUUCCAAUACCACCCAAAGCUACUGCAUCAAGGUUCAAAUUCAUGCAAUAACACUAGCCGCCUGACGCAGACAGAAGUUAGAGGAUUAGAUGCGCUUCUUAUCUUUUUUCUUUUUUUUUGGUACAGAUGCACUUCUUAUCUUCAAGGAAUAAAUAUCAUAAGGCUUGGUCUAUAAAAAGGAGGAGCCAAGGAGCUCAGAAACCAGACCAGCCUCAGCUCUUCUAAAACUCCAGGUAGACAGUGUCCAACAUGAGCUGCACCUACGAGUCGAAAAUGGAGAAGACAAGCAUGACUGAAGGGCCUCACUCCCCUCAGCUUCACACUGUGAUCAAGCACAAGGAGGUCCAUGAGGAAGAGGAGAAGCCACGCCACGGAAUCUUCGGCCGGCCAAGGAACAAGGAGUGGUCUGAAGAGGAGACCUAUGAAAUCUCUGAGACAACCUACGCAGGCGACAUGGGCAUGCAAGGAGGAGAGUGCAUCAGGCGCAAGGAGUAUAUAUGAGACCAUACAUCAAGGCAGCUUGAGAGCAUCAUCUAUCUAUAGUUCUGUGAUGAUGGAUGCCAUGGCUUGGCAUCUUUAUAUAUAGAAUAAAUCUCUGGCUUAUCUACUGUAUAUCCAUAUGAAUAAUACUAUACUUCUCUAGUACUCAAGGUAUAGCUCUAUACUUUAGCCUACUACAUUCACUCUUGAUAUCUUUAGUACGCGCGUGUUUUCAGGUAGAUUUUUUGAGAAUACUACACCAACUCUUUCCCCCUUCAUUUUGAUAAUAUAAUCGGGAAAGAAGUAGGCUAGUCUCCGCUUUGAAUCCUAAAUAUAUUGGUGCAAGAUCGACCGAUGGCAUUCUAAAAUGUUGAUCCAAGCCACUGAUAAUGAUAUAUAUAACAUGCAAGACAUCCGCAAGAAUCAAGUAUUUUGUAAGUUUUCUAUCUAUUAUGCAUCAAGAGGAUGCAACUGGACGGCAUGAGUAGUGCUAAUGUGUUAAAAUGCAUGAUAGGGUGUGAGAAAAAUUUUGAAUCCAGUCCGUCGAUUAUGAUCGCUCCAUAGAAAGCAUAUGUGAAAUAAAGUUCAAUAUGUUUGCUUCUAAGUCACAUGAAAACAUGAACUCGAUCCAACAACAUGUGUGAUGAAACCUUUUUGUUUUUGAAGAUUGUUUGUAAAAGUUUUUGAGCUUUUGGAAGCAAAGUUUAUAGCUUUCAUAGAAGGAGUGAAAAUAAAGCAAGGAAUAGAAAAAGUUUUGUACAGAUGCCACCUUGGACAUCAAUCUGCAUGUGGUAUUUCAC